rnacentral:rRNA from 1 species
AACCUCCGCAAUGUGAGAAAUCGCGACGGGGGGAUCCCAAGUGCCAUUCUUAACGGGAUGGCUUUUCUUAAGUGUAAAAAGCUUUUGGAAUAAGAGCUGGGCAAGACCGGUGCCAGCCGCCGCGGUAACACCGGCAGCUCUAGUGGUAGCUGUUUUUAUUGGGCCUAAAGCGUUCGUAGCCGGUUUGAUAAGUCACUGGUGAAAUCCUGUAGCUUAACUGUGGGAAUUGCUGGUGAUACUGUUGAACUUGAGGUCGGGAGAGGUUAGCGGUACUCCCAGGGUAGAGGUGAAAUUCUGUAAUCCUGGGAGGACCACCUGUGGCGAAGGCGGCUAACUGGAACGAACCUGACGGUGAGGGACGAAAGCUAGGGGCGCGAACCGGAUUAGAUACCCGGGUAGUCCUAACUGUAAACGAUGCGGACUUGGUGUUGGGUGGCUUUGAGCUGCUCCAGUGCCGAGGAAGCUGUUAAGUCCGCCGCCUGGGAAGUACGGUCGCAAGACUGAAACUUAAAGGAAUU